UACGGGGGGAGCAAGCGUUGUUCGGAUUUACUGGGCGUAAAGGGCGCGUAGGCGGCCACCGCAAGUCGAUUGUGAAAUCUCGUCGCUUAACGGCGAGUCGGCCAUCGAAACUGCAGGGCUCGAGCACUGUAGGGGCUAAUGGAAUUCCGGGUGUAGCGGUGGAAUGCGUAGAGAUCCGGAAGAACACCAGUGGCGAAGGCGGUUAGCUGGGCAGUUGCUGACACUGAUGCGCGACAGCGUGGGGAGCAAACAGG
rnacentral:rRNA from 1 species